UACGGGGGGGGCUAGCGUUGCUCGGAAUCACUGGGCGUAAAGCGCACGUAGGCGGAUCUUUUAAGUCAGGGGUGAAAUCCUGGAGCUCAACUCCAGAACUGCCUUUGAUACUGAGAAUCUUGAGUUCGGGAGAGGUGAGUGGAACUGCGAGUGUAGAGGUGAAAUUCGUAGAUAUUCGCAAGAACACCAGUGGCGAAGGCGGCUAACUGGUCCGGUUCUGACGCUGAGGCGCGAAAGCGUGGGGAGCAAACAGG
rnacentral:rRNA from 1 species